UCUCUCUCUUCCUCUUCUGCGUAACCCUAGCGCCGCCUUGAGUUUUCCCUCCUCUUUUUCCGCCAAAAAUGGCAAAAUUACAGAGUUUGGCAGAUGUGGAAAACUUUUACAUGUCUAUUAUAGUGAAAACAUUUAAUGUUUCACUUGAUUUCACAAUUUUUUAAUCCUAACACGGUAAUUAAUCGUAUUUUUGCUUUGUUUUACUUUAUUAUUCUAUGAUUACCCAUUUUGUUAUUAUACCUUUCUUGAUUUCCAUUGGUUGGGUUUGAAAAGGCUGGAUCGAACCAAAUAAGGUCCAGAUCUGGUCGUUCAUAUGUUUGAGGAGUCAUUUGAGAAGUAGAUCCGAUUUGAAUGUUCAGUUUUAGGGAAAUAUGUUUGUCCCACAUUGUUGGUUUUAAGAGUUGAACAAUUUUGGGGUUCUAUAAAAUAGAACCCCAAACCUAUCACACGGGGGAGGUCUUUAUUUGGAGGAGAAAAAGAAGACAAAUAGAAAAAUAGAUUGAAAAAGAGAAGAAAAAGUUUGAAAGUUGAAGAAACUAAAAAAUUUCGAUUUUCAAAAGCUUCUUAGUAAAGUUUUAAAUACUUUGACUUAGAUAGUUAGGGUUUUUUCUCAGUUCUAAAAUUAUUUUCUUGUUUUAUUUCUAUUUCGCGUGGCUGAGUGUCGAGGUUGGAAGCAUAAGGCUCCCAAGUCCAUUCUUUUCUUGGCUGCGCACAUAAAAGAGCACUCAAGACGCUCUUCAACGGGGUACAAUUAGUUUGGCGAAAGGUGCACGUUUGCGACAAGUCGGAAAUUUAAGAAAAGAUUCCGGACGAAACGGGAUUUGAUUUUAGGGAGAGCAUAAGACGUCUAUAAGGUAUGUAAAGCUUCCCACUUCUUCGUUUGGCAUGUCUUAGUAUGUUAGGUGAAUAUUGGAACCUUCGGAGCAAUUUUGCUCCUCGAAACCCGAUCUAUAAAACGGCUACUAUUCAUUCAAUUCAAUUGAUGCCUAAAGGCUCUAUUUUGGCUAGAAUGCAACUAAAUAUCCGCAAUCUAUGGAAAUGUGAUCGGGUCACUUUGAAAUCAUUAUGUAUGAUCUGUUAGCCUCUAAAUGUUCGUAAAUUAUGUUCGCCACCUCGAUUUGACUCGAGGUGGGCCCGCUAACCCCGAGACGCCCUAGUUGUCCUAUCGGGCUCUCUUUUUGGAUGAACUUCGAUAUGAGAUCUUCGACUUUGAAACUGUCCUCUAUGAAAUAUGUUUUGACUAUUAUGAUAUGUUAAGUUCCGUUUGAGCCAUACGUACCGCUUUGGAAACAUUUCCUGAAUUAAACUCUUGUAUCAAGUAACCAUUUGUCUAUUUUGGUCUAUGAAAUGACUUAUGAAAUUAUUAAGUUUUGAAAAGCUAUUUUGAAAUAUAAUUUGCAAUUGUUUGCUCACGACUCCGCUCGUGCCUUAUUAUGACUUCGUUCACCGGUUCCCGGGCCGGUUAUGAUUCGUGCGCCCUAUGAUAAUUCGGUCGUAUGCUGUGUUACGGUUCCCGAGGCCUCGCCAUAGGGCUGGGUUCCGUUUGGAGUUAUGCUGUGAUAUGGCUGGUGAUGCGAUACGCUCCCAUAUGUAUGUGUUCGGGGAUGUACGGAGAUUUGAAACCUUCCGGUGUUAUGCUGUGUGUGGCACCAGCGUCGGAGUGGUGACCACGUUCUUGAGCUUUGCAUGAUUUCGUUUGCAUUAUGUAUAUGUAUAUGAUUUUGAUACGGAUUUUGACAUACUGAUUUGUACUUCCCUUUGAUAUCCGGUUUGCUUUCAGUUUUGGCCCAUAUUUCUGUACUCCGUGCUUUACAUACUCAGUACAUAUUUCGUACUGACCCCCUUUCUUCGGAGGGCUGCGUUUUAUGCCCGCAUGUACAGACAUUGGUGAUCCUCCACUGUAGGCUUCACUUUUCUGCUAUUUCGGAGUACUCCUCCUUGAUCCGGAGUCCACUUCUGGUACAGACAUCUUUUGCUAUGUAUAUUUUGUACAUUUGACUAUUCGGGUACGGCGGGGCCCUGUCUCGCCAUAUGUCUUUGUUUUGGAUUCGUAGAGGCCUGUAGUCAUGUUUGUGGGGCGAGGGUCCUAUAUGUGUUUGUUUGACUUUGAUAUUUGGUCUUAAAGCGGUCCGUUUGUUAUGAUGGCCCUAAAUGGCCCUUAUGCUUAUAUUUGCACUUAUGACCGGCGAUGUCUAUUCCGCCGCUCCUUUCGGAUUCGAUAUGAUAUUUUGAUA